UAGUUAGUUCAUCCCAAGUCACUGAUUUACAUGUCUUUUGAGACUGAGACUGCUGGGGAAAAACAUUCCCAGAAAUGAGUGGAUUAGACUCUGUGAAUUACAAGGGAAAGACACUUUAAGUUUAAAGUUGUCCCAAACUUAGCGUCAAAAUACAGCCUUUAGAUUUUUUUUUCCAUCGAGAAAAAUUCCUGAUUCACUACCAAAAAGAGGCCCUGCAGGCAGCGUGCUGAUUUGUUCUGCUCCUGGUGCUGAGCUGCCCCCACCUGUGUGCAGGGAGGAGGGGUCGCUUCGGCCAAGGGCGGGAGCUCUGCUGGCUUUAGCGAGUCACCAUUGCCUCCUCGCAGUCAGCGUCCUAACGGGGUCCCCGUCUACAGCCCGGCAUCCACUCCUCCAAGGCCCUUCACACUGGCUCUAGCCAUGACCCCUCUUUGGAGGAAUAAAGCAGAGUUUCACGGACUCACCGACCUUGAAGCCGGAGCCUCCCACGUCCUGCUGAGCGCACACAGCCAAGAAGUGUAUGCAGGGCGAGCUGGUCGGGCCGGCCUGGAAAUCCUCCCUGGCGGGGCGGGGCCAGAGGACCUCACCAAUCCCAGCGUAGACCUCCGGGCGCACCGGCCCCCACAGCUGUACCCUUGAAGGCAGGCCCGUGGGCGCUGGGCCCUUUAUAGCACCUGCCCUUUCUCUGAAACGUAAAAGGCGGAGCCAGUCUUGCUUCCCAGGCCUGGUCCUGGAGGCUCCUUUGCCAGGGCUCUGGAUCUCAGAAUGGAAGGGCCAGCAGGUGAAAUUGCACAUCUGUUGGGGGAUUUGUUUCUCUCUUCUCUCAGGUGUACCAGCCUUGGGGCCCUGGUGAGCUCUGGAGGAUGAACCCCUCAAGCCAAGGUCGGAGAGGAGGAUGUCUCAAGCUGCCUGGCUCCAGCAGCUGACCGGGCCCUGAGCCAGGGGCUGGAGGGACCUCCUUCCAGCGUCUUUGUCUGGGACCUGGAUCCAGGGACAAUUACAGUCAGGUUUCUGUUCAAGAUCAGGCCCCCUGCAGUAGAUGGCUAGAUCAUCUCGCUUUCUGUCCACACCAGCUUAACCCACGGCAGGCCAUAGCCCUGCUUAAAAAUAGCCCCGCUUGGGAUAUCCACCGCACGCCGGGAAGGCUGCCUGUAAAUAGCAAUGACCCAGCAGGAUUUUGGACAGCAGCCCUGCCAUUUCAAGGGAGCCUGCCUAGGCAUCUGGUGACCGUCACGUACUCAGCUUCUGAGGCCACGUGGACAUGACCAAUUGGUUCCUGUCUCUUCCUUCUCAGAGCCCAGCUCAUGCUCAGAGGACUUGAUGGAGCAAGGGGUGGAGCCCCAGGAAUAACCUUCUACCCAGUGUGGUUCUCCUUCAUUCUCUGAAGGAGUUUCCAUUUCUUUUAAACACGACCCAUGUUUAAAAAUAUCAUCUAUUUUACCUUUGCAUGGGGUACUGACAGGGAGAGCACGUGAGGGGGCCUUUUGGCGGGAUGGGAAGUUUCCUGAUUGGGGUGGUUAUAUAAAGAUUGGGACCAAUC
rnacentral:lncRNA from 1 species